rnacentral:rRNA from 1 species
AGCAGCAGCCGCGGUAAUACGAGGGGGGCAAGCGUUGUUCGGAAUUAUUGGGCGUAAAGGGCGCGUAGGCGGUUUGACAAGUCUUGUGUGAAAUCUCUGGGCUCAACCCAGAGUCUGCACGGGAAACUGUCGGGCUAGAGGAUGGGAGAGGUGAGUGGAAUUUCCGGUGUAGCGGUGAAAUGCGUAGAUAUCGGAAGGAACACCUGUGGCGAAAGCGGCUCACUGGACCAUUACUGACGCUGAGGCGCGAAAGCUAGGGGAGCAAACAGGAUUAGAGACCCGAGUAGUCCCUGUCUCUUAUAC